UCUGCAUAUUUAGAGCGUAUGCCUACCCCGAGUAGGAAACCCAGCAAGUAUGCGUCACCUCCACCUUGAACUUUAGGGUUCAAGGGUAACGACAUGCAGCGGCAUCUUCGGAGCAUUU
rnacentral:sRNA from 1 species